rnacentral:rRNA from 1 species
CAGCCGCCGCGGGAAUACGAAGGGGUCUAGCGUUGUUCGGAAUUACUGGGCGUAAAGCGCACGUAGGCGGAUAUUUAAGUCAGGGGUGAAAUCCCGCAGCUCAACUGCGGAACUGCCUUUGAUACUGGGUAUCUUGAGUAUGGAAGAGGUUAGUGGAAUUGCGAGUGUAGAGGUGAAAUUCGUAGAUAUUGGAUGGAACACCGGUGGCGAAAGCGGCUCUCUGGCCCGGAUCUGACGCUGAGGCGCGAAAGCGUGGGGAGCAAACAGGAUUAGAUACCCCAGUAGUCCCUGUCUCUUAUAC